rnacentral:lncRNA from 1 species
CUCUAUAUUUUUUAUUGCUAUUAAGCUUUAUUUGUGACUACAACACAAUAACUCUAUAGCAUACUGUACUAUUGUCAUGAUAUAUUUUGUUCUGCAAGUUUAUAUACUAAGAUCGAGGACAAACAAAAUAUUUGAUAACUUUGACAUGGUCUAACUGUGUUCUUUUCUUUGUUCAUAAAUAAUAGUAAAUUGAAUUAAUGUGUUACAAAUUGAUGCACUUAUCAGGAAAAAAGUAUUGCAACUUGAUAACAAGAACAAAUUAAAAAUUUGAGAAAGUAAAACAAAGUUAGACUGGUGCAUUUCAUACAUAUGGUGCUCUUGUAGACAGAAUAACACAGAAUAGUCAUUGAUGUUUCUUGGUUUAUCAAGCAUUCAAAUUUUAUAUUGAUUAACUUCUAAUCAAAGUUUCAAGAUUAAGCACCAUUUUAAGCUGGCUAUAUCAUGAAGAAUAUUUUUUGUUUGAUUAGAUUUUCUCCAAUAUUAGUUGAAAUCUAAAUCGUUUUUCAUUAUUUGACUUUUGGUAUAGACUGAUUAUUCACCAAAGAGAAGUUCAAAGGAGUCCGAUCAGUGAGGUAUGUAUAUUAGUAUGAGCAAUAACAACUCCCUGAACAUAUCUAGAUUUAAGGAAUGUGCUAUGUGACAAUAGUGUCUUGAAGAGUUUGUAUUCUGAAUAAACAACUAUUUGGUUUCUUUGAAUAUCUGGUUUAUGAAACUUCAGUUUGGUACUUGUAGUGUUAUGAAGUGGAAAAAAGUAGGUUCUUUUGUUUUCAUUUUGCCCUCCUUUUUGUGAUGAGUAAUAAGGGAAAGUUUAUUUACCAACACCUACAGUAGAUAAUAUUGAGAUGAUAUAAGAGUAUUUCAGUAUAAGUCCAUAUUUUAUAUUUAUAGUGGUGAUAGAAAUUGUAUCAAAUGUAUCUACUUCAUAACUGUGUAUGUUCUCUAUAACUAAUGGACUUUUUAGUCAUUUCAUACUCAUAUAAUUGGGCUUAUUUCUUUCUUUUAUUUGAGGGUAACUGAAAUGUAUCGUCCCAUUUUUUUGGAGAUUAUUUGCAUUAAAUUUUGGCAUAUUCAUAUAGUUGUCAGAGUUUAGCUUAUCAAAUAAAAAAUAAGAAUUAGCUCUUCUAUUUUUUUUGUAAUUGUUGGCCGGUUUAAUCUUAAGGAUAGAGGGAUCCCACACUCUUUUAAGAAACAAUUAGAUUGAUGAUGCAUCUUUAGAUUAUAGUAAUAGUGUUUUCGCCUUUAAUGACGUUGUUCGAUCUUCUCUAAAUGAGUGUAACUUGACACUUGGAUAUAGCUCUAGAGUAGUUUGUUCUCCCUGGGUCUCUCUCCCUUCCUCUCUCUAGCUUAUCUUUAUAUCAUUGUGUUUUUCAAAUUCUUGGUGCUGGACUUGUAUUAAUUAGUACUUUCUGUACAAAAAAUGUUUAAUAUCUCAUUCUCUUUUAGGAAAAGGAGCAAGAAGCUCUUUUGAUAGAGUCCAGGACAAAUACAAAAUAGUGAUGUUUUCGGGCUUCCAGCAAUGCACAAAUGUUUGUAAUAUUGUUUAUGGCUUUUAAUGGGCUAUGUGAUUUUUGUUAUUCUGUACAUGGUGUAAGCACUCAUAAACAUGAUACAUCUUGUUGAUCAUGUGGUAUAGAAUAAUGGUAGGAGAUGAGAAAUUAGUCGUAUACUUGGGUUUAAUUUUGUUAAUAAUUAAUACAAAAGCACAACAAAAUAAAAAUAUUUGCCCAGUUUUACACACGUUGGCCGGCCCUCGG